rnacentral:rRNA from 1 species
GACAGAGGGUGCAAACGUUGUUCGGAUUUACUGGGCGUAAAGCGCGUGUAGGCGGCUUUGCAAGUCGGAUGUGAAAGCCCACGGCUCAACCGUGGAAGUGCAUCCGAUACUGGAAGGCUUGAAUCCGGGAGAGGGAUGUGGAAUUCCAGGUGUAGCGGUGAAAUGCGUAGAUAUCUGGAGGAACACCGGUGGCGAAGGCGACAUCCUGGACCGGUAUUGACGCUGAGGCGCGAAAGCCAGGGGAGCAAACGGG